AUGGGAUUUUUGCUACUUGCAAUUUUCGCUCUAGCAGCUUUGGAAGGUGUCCGGUCCCAGGUGCAGCUGGUGGAGUCCGGAGGGGAUGUGAAAAAGCCCGGAGACUCUCUCCGCCUCUCCUGCAAAGCCUCCGGGUUCGACUUCAGUAGCGACUACAUGAACUGGGUCCGACAGGCUCCCGGGAAGGGACUUGAAUGGGUCGCUGCUAUAAGCUCCGAAUCCGAUGGGAGUGGUACAUACUACCCUGAUUCAGUGAAAGGCCGAUUCACCAUCUCCCGGGACAAUCCCAAGAGUGAGCUGUAUCUGCAAAUGACCGGCCUGAAGCCCGAGGACACCGCCCGCUAUUACUGUAUCUGGCACGUUGCCUCCCCCGGGGCCCGUCUCGAUGUCAGACUCACAGGACAGCGUCUGUCAGUGUAA